UGGUGAUCGGUUUGUGCGGGUCGGACGGUUCCCUGCUUGUGCAGCGACGUUCGUCCCGGCAUACCUCUUCAGUUUUGUCGCCGUCAAGAGCCGCGUUUUGUUGCCUUGAGCGCCGUCGGGUUUCCUGUGUUUAAUACCCGGUGAAGGUAUUCUUCGAUGUCUCACGAUGCCUUUUCGCCCGGCCUCGUUCUUUGCGAGGUCGGGCGACGCAGAGGCGCGGCCCGUUAUCCGCGGGAGAAGAGAAUUUUAUUCGUUUCUUUCGUGGCUCGCCGGUCGCUGCCGAUGUCGCGGAUGCGGAACCCUGUUCGGGCGGGGAGUCUCUCGUCUCCCGUAUUGCCCGUCUUGUGUGUAUAUCGCUUCUAACAACGGACGACGGUUGCCUCCGCCUCCUCGCGUCGAUCGCUCGUUUGGUCGAGGGAUCGGUUCGCGCGGCGGCGGCGGAGGCGAUCUUAGUCGGUGCGGAAUGCUACCUGGUUGAUCCUGCCAGUA
rnacentral:misc_RNA from 1 species